rnacentral:rRNA from 1 species
CCUAGCGGCGGACGGGUGAGUAAUGCUUAGGAAUCUGCCUAUUAGUGGGGGACAACAUUCCGAAAGGAAUGCUAAUACCGCAUACGCCCUACGGGGGAAAGCAGGGGAUCUUCGGACCUUGCGCUAAUAGAUGAGCCUAAGUCAGAUUAGCUAGUUGGUGGGGUAAAGGCCUACCAAGGCGACGAUCUGUAGCGGGUCUGAGAGGAUGAUCCGCCACACUGGGACUGAGACACGGCCCAGACUCCUACGGGAGGCAGCAGUGGGGAAUAUUGGACAAUGGGCGMAAGCCUGAUCCAGCCAUGCCGCGUGUGUGAAGAAGGCCUUUUGGUUGUAAAGCACUUUAAGCGAGGAGGAGGCUACUUGGAUUAAUACUCURGGAUAGUGGACGUUACUCGCAGAAUAAGCACCGGCUAACUCUGUGCCAGCAGCCGCGGUAAUACAGAGGGUGCGAGCGUUAAUCGGAUUUACUGGGCGUAAAGCGUGCGUAGGCGGCUUYUUAAGUCGGAUGUGAAAUCCCUGAGCUUAACUUAGGAAUUGCAUUCGAUACUGGGAAGCUAGAGUAUGGGAGAGGAUGGUAGAAUUCCAGGUGUAGCGGUGAAAUGCGUAGAGAUCUGGAGGAAUACCGAUGGCGAAGGCAGCCAUCUGGCCUAAUACUGACGCUGAGGUACGAAAGCAUGGGGAGCAAACAGGAUUAGAUACCCUGGUAGUCCAUGCCGUAAACGAUGUCUACUAGCCGUUGGGGCCUUUGAGGCUUUAGUGGCGCAGCUAACGCGAUAAGUAGACCGCCUGGGGAGUACGGUCGCAAGACUAGCCCGCACAAGCGGUGGAGCAUGUG